ensembl:lncRNA LINC02055 long intergenic non-protein coding RNA 2055
GGCCUUCGCCAGCCCAGAAAGGGGCUCCUACAGUGCAGUGGCGGGCUGAAGGGCUGCUCAAGCGCCGCCAAAGUGGGAGCCCAGGCAGAGGAGGCGCCCAGAGCGAGCGAGGGCUGUGAGGACUGCCAGCACGCUGUCACCUCUCACUCAUAUAGAUUGCCAAUCUAUUUGUGAACCAGGUUUGCUGGAGUUUGGAUUUACUACUGAGUCAUAUUUGGAGCAUGCUGGAAUCUUACAACUGAGAUUACCGAGUCAGAAACUUGCAAACAUGAGUAACAUGGCCCUGCUCUGGAGACUACUGGGAACACAAACACAGCCAUUUAAGACAUCUACCUGCUUCUCCUUUGCCUUCCAUCAUGACUGAAAGUUGUCUGAGGUCUCCCAGCCACGUGUCCUGUACAGCCUGUGGAACUACUUUAAAGAAGAAUCAGAAAAUGGAGACUGGGAUUGGAAGCAGAGAUCCGAUGGCCAAAUUACAGUCUGCCACUGAAGCUAACACACCUAUGGAUAACCCAACCUGUAAACUCAAUGUGGAACACAGUUUGAGAAAAGAAGUGAGAAGAUUCAAUUUUGAAGUUGGAUCACUCUCCUACAGGCAAUGAAGACCACAUCACUGAUGGACUGAGGAUAUAAAAUGUGCAGUUUGUAUCCCUAUUCAUUGAAGAGCUCACAGUUGAGAUGGAGAGAUUCUUCGCAUGAGCAAAGACUGAAGGAGCCCUGGGAAGGAGCUACUUACUGAAUUGCAGGAGUGCUGUAUUCAGGCAACUGACAAGAAGUUAAUGGCAUAUUUCAGUUUCAUUAUAGCUAGGGAGGUAUGUCUGGAUUUUUCAUAUACUCCCUGUCUCCUUUCCCAUUUGGACUAUUUUUGAACCUCAAAUCCAGCGAAAAUUGAUGAUGAGUGCCACCUUUGUGUUAAUGCUUUAUUUCACUAUGUUUUUACACAGAAUGAAAGCUUAUGAAAGGCAGGGAAUAAUUUCUUUUGUUUACUGCCAAUUUCUAGAGCCUAGAAGAGCAAUGUAGCAAGAUAGAUGCUCAAAAAAUAUUUAUCUUUACUUAUCAUAUACUGGCUAUUUGUCUUUCCUUAAAACUAAUCUUUCUUAUCCUUCCAUGUUCGGCUCCAGUGUCACCUCUCCAUAAAAUCUUACUCUAUGUCCAGCAACUUGAUUUGAGAAUUAUAUAUUUUGUCCUAUUACUAUAUCCUCAGUUAUGGCAGUUUACAUGCUAUAUUAAAACAAAAAAAUGUAUAAAAUAUCUCCAUCUCUUGUACCAUUGUCAGAAGAGAUGCUGCUUUAUUUAUAUUAAAUUCCUACCUGCCUAAA